GACGUAGGGCGCAAGCGUUGUCCGGAUUUAUUGGGCGUAAAGAGCUCGUAGGCGGCUUGUUGCGUCGACUGUGAAGACCCACGGCUCAACUGUGUGGUCUGCAGUCGAUACGGGCAAGCUAGAGUUCGGUAGGGGAGACUGGAAUUCCUGGUGUAGCGGUGAAAUGCGCAGAUAUCAGGAGGAACACCGGUGGCGAAGGCGGGUCUCUGGGCCGAUACUGACGCUGAGGAGCGAAAGCGUGGGGAGCGAACAGG
rnacentral:rRNA from 1 species